rnacentral:rRNA from 1 species
CCCCUAGACGUUCUGGGCCGCACGCGCGCUACACUGACCAGUGCAACAAGCAUCCGUCCUUGGCCGACAGGCUCGGGCAAUCUUUGAACGCUGGUCGUGAUGGGGAUAGACUUUUGCAAUUUUUGGUCUUCAACGAGGAAUUCCUAGUAAACGCAAGUCAUCAACUUGCAUUGAUUACGUCCCUGCCCUUUGUACACACCGCCCGUCGCACCUACCGAUUGAAUGGUCCGGUGAAGCCUCCGGAUUGGCGCGCACCUCGGUGCCGCCGAGAAGUUGGCUAAACCUUACCAUUUAGAGGAAGGUGAAGUCGUANCA